rnacentral:lncRNA from 1 species
AGUUAGAUUGAGAUAUCUCAUUGUAGUUGGCAUGUUAUUGAGCAGUCAUUUGGAGGUCCUAGCCGAAGUCAAGAUAGCUCCCUAAGGUCGAUUCAUUUCAACCUAGUCGUCGGAGGUCCAUACCAGAGCUCGGAUAUCCCCGAUCAGUUUUUGUCCAACUUUCAUUUGUUAAGGACCAAGCUUAAGCUCAGGUGUCUCU